AUGUAAAAGACCUGUAAAAGCAAGUGCUUUCAGCAGAGCGGUUCAUAACCAAACUGAACAAUCAUCUGAGCAAAACUACCUACUUUAAGACUGUAAGACUGGAUCAGGUCUGGCUGUCUUUGCCUUGGUGUUGCUAGAAGGCAGUGUUCUAACCAUCGCUGAUACACAAGACCAGUUCAGCUUCUUCCUGGGGUUCCCCUGUGAUAACAUGCAGCCUGGACUGUCAACCAGGUGGGUCUGCGUCAUCCAACUAAAUAUCUCUGUCUAACACUUUGUCUGACAACCCUGUUUCCCUCCCACAGGGCCAUCCAGGACUGCCUGGUAAAUGGACGUAUCAUUAGUGCCUCAAGAGUUUGCUGUCUGUGUGCGUUGCCUCUGACCCCUGAAAUCUACAAUGCAACGUUUUACACUACCAACUUAAAGACUGGGUCUGGUCUGGAGGGUCAUCUCAUGUACGAGUUGACCUUCCAGACCCUGGUAAGUAGAAGACCACUCUGAUCCUGUGUUUUCUUCAGCACAUAGUCUAAUAGCUCAGUUAGGUAUUUUCAGUUAAUUAACGGGAAGGGAAAAUGUCUAAAAUUCGCUGCAAAGACCCAAUUGCCACAGUGGGACAUAUUUUGUUCUCUGAGUAAUAUGGACCCAACCUAAAAUCGGUUUACCUUCAGCCUGACAUUUGAAGUCGAUCCAUCCCGUUCCUCUUUCAGUAAUGUCUAGAAGUAAAAGGCUUCUUGCUGUUGGGUAUUAUACCAGAUCUUCAGAUGAAGAGUUCAUUGGCCAUUGGCAGACAUGCUGGCUGACUUUGCCUUGGUGUUGCUAGAAGGCAGUGUUCUAACCAUCGCUGAUACACAAGACCAGUUCAGCUUCUUCCUGGGGUUCCCCUGUGAUAACAUGCAGCCUGGACUGUCAACCAGGUGGGUCUGCGUCAUCCAACUAAAUAUCUCUGUCUAACACUUUGUCUGACAACCCUGUUUCCCUCCCACAGGGCCAUCCAGGACUGCCUGGUAAAUGGACGUAUCAUUAGUGCCUCAAGAGUUUGCUGUCUGUGUGCGUUGCCUCUGACCCCUGAAAUCUACAAUGCAACGUUUUACACUACCAACUUAAAGACUGGGUCUGGUCUGGAGGGUCAUCUCAUGUUCGAGUUGACCUUCCAGACCCUGGUAAGUAGAAGACCACUCUGAUCCUGUGUUUUCUUCAGCACAUAGUCUAAUAGCUCAGUUAGGUAUUUUCAGUUAAUUAACGGGAAGGGAAAAUGUCUAAAAGUCGCUGCAAAGACCCAAUUGCCACAGUGGGACAUAUUUUGUUCUCUGAGUAAUAUGGACCCAACCUAAAAUCGGUUUACCUUCAGCCUGACAUUUGAAGUCGAUCCAUCCCCGUUUCUCUUUCAGUAAUGUCCGGAAGUAAAAGGCUUCUUGCUUUUGGGUAUUAUACCAGAUCUUCUGUGUCAUCCCUUCUGCUAAGUCCUGCUAAUGUAUGUGUUCUCGGAGUGUUGUGUAGCUGCAGCAACAGGUGACCACCAUUCUUAACCAGCUUCCUCCUGCUCCCAGACCAGCGAGACCCACACCUGACCCACACAUACCAAGAGGCCAUGGACAAACUGAUAAAGGGUGUGCCUAAUGUCAGAGAGGAACCCUGCUCGGAACACUAAAUCAAACCCUGACAACCUAUAGGACACACUGGAGACAUGCAUGUGUGUGUGUGUAUAUAUAUAUAUAUAUAUAUAUGUGUGUGUAAACUUGUGAGCACCAUGACCAAUCAGCAAAAAAAAGAUACUGGGACAUUUUGGCGGUCCUAUUCUGCAAUUUGGAAACGUCAAUGAUAAUGUGUGUAGACCAAAAUAUCUGAAAAAUAUUUAUGUAAUUUAGAUGAAAUUGGGAAAAAAAUUAUGUUAUUUGGCAUAAGAUUAUUCUUAAAAAUUCUUAUCCGGCACAGCCAGAAGAGGACUGGCCCCUCAGAGUCUGGUUCCUCUCUAGGUUUCUUCCAAGGUUUUUGACCCUACUUGGGAGUUUUUCCUAGCCACUGUGCAUCAAUGUAUUGUUCUUGCUUGCUCUUUGGGGUUUCUAGGCUGGGAAUCUGUGCAUUUUGUGAGAACAGACAAUAUAAAAAUGGCUUUAUAAAAUAAAAUGUGUUCAUUGCUUA